rnacentral:rRNA from 1 species
AUUGAACGCUGGCGGCAGGCCUAACACAUGCAAGUCGAGCGCGCGGCGGACGCGGGAGUAAUGUAUGGGGGCUGUCCGAUAGAGGGGGAUAACUCCUGGAAAAAGUGGCUAUAAUCGCGUACUCUCGGAUCACACAUAUGUGAUUAGCUAGUAGGUGAGGUAAUGGCUCACCUAGGCGACGAUCCCUAGCUGGUCUGAGAGGAUGAUCAGCCACACUGGGACUGAGACACGGCCCAGACUCCUACGGAGGCAGCAGUGGGGAAUAUUGCACAAUGGGCGCAAGCCUGAUGCAGCCAUGCCGCGUGUAUGAAGAAGGCCUUAGGGUUGUAAAGUACUUUCAGUGGGGAGGCGUUACCGGCAGAAGAAGCACCGGCUAACUCCGUGCCAGCAGCCGCGGUAAUUC